AGGCUGCAGUGAAUUCUACAAAGAGGCUAUGGGAAAGAAACCUGGAAAGUACCCUUGGCUGUGUACAUUUGAGUAAAGAGAGCACUAUAAAAUCAAAAACCAAUGAAAUGGUUUCCAGAACACAGAACUAUUAAGCUUAAGAAAAGGACAGAAGGAACUGAAGAGAGAGGAACUGUUUUGGAGCAUCACACUUCCACCUCAGAAGAAAUAAGGAAGGAAGGAGGAGGGUGUUCCCACGGCUCUUCAACCAGGCCGGCUCUUCAGCCUACAUCCCCAUCUCAUCAAGUAAAAGGGAUUUUUCAACUGGACCAACCAGAUGGUUUAACAGUGCACUCCCACACCAUUCAACUACGCAAGGGAGAUACACUUAACAUAUGCAGUCGUAUAACACCUACUAACAUUUUCAAACAUUAAACCUUUAAAAAAGAGUUCUAAAGAAAUAGAAGCUUGAAGUAUCAUCUCUCAAGUAUAUAGACACUACUUCAUGGUGUGGUAAUAUAUGCAUAUAGAAGCUAGUAAACACCUCCAGGAGAUGCAAAAGGAAUUAGAACUGCCACAAGGUGCAAGCAAAACCUUGAGGUAAUCAAUCUGCAUCCCAUUUUGGAUGAGAAUAUUUGCAACUUUGAAGGUUAUUUUAAGGACAGCAGCAGAAGAAUUAUGGCAGGUAUCUGAAAUUCAUUUCUGUGCUUUGCCGAGGACCCAUGGGAUGCCAUUUGCAGAUGAGAAAACUAAAGAAUAGCUUUAUCUUCCAGCUCUUCACGGAAAAAAAAAUGGCAACAAUAAAAUCAGCAACUCCUGCCAAAUAAAUGGGCAUAAAAAAGAAAUCAUAGACUGCUGGCAAUGGUGGGGAAAAAGUUAUAAAAAUUGUCUCUGCACCAUCUUCCUUUUGUCCUCUAAAAUAUUCACAUUAGCAAAAGUAUAUAACAGCUGAUGAAGAAAUACUGAUAAUUUGUCUUUCUUCUUUAAAAUAUGAAGACUUCGAAGUUAUUUAUCCAAACCAACCUGAUCAUUUCUUAAGAGUGAAUAUACCUUGGAAGACGUGUCCUGCCUUUAGUAGCGUCACAAUGGAUUACAUCCUCUAUAAAGCAGUCUGGGAUAUUCUGCCCAAUCAGAGGCUAACAUCUGCCACAAGACAAAUAUGGUGCCUGCCCCCAUGGAGCUCAUAUUCGAAUGGAGAAAAUGUCAACAAGUAUCCCACGGAGUGAACACUUCAAAAGGAGAAGCACAGGUGAGAAAAUCGAAUUUGGACACCGUUGAGGAGACUAUUGCAGUCAUCCAAGCUCAAGAUGGUGGAGCUUCAUCCUUGAGAAUAACCAAUGGGGAUAGAUUUAAGAGACACUUAGAGUCUGCAGCCAACAGGGCUGAAUGAGCAGAGAGUUAUGAUUCAGAAGAUCAUCUAAAAUUGAACAGCUGCCACUACUGGCAAUAAGUCUACUGCCAUUUGGUAGAUAACCUUCUUAUCACACAGAAAAAUAUCAGUACAGACAAAUAGACCGCAAAGAAAAUGAGACCAUCAGCAAAGAAGAUAAAGAAGUUUGUACAAAGCAACUUUUUAUAAAUGGAUGGCUGUCAGGCAAAAAUAAAUUUCCUGUGGACAAGACCAAGAGCAAGGCAAGAGGAAAAUAAA
ensembl:lncRNA LINC00343 long intergenic non-protein coding RNA 343